UACGAGACGGGUGGACCCCAGAGCGGAGGCAAAACACAGAGCACUGAGGUGGUGCGUUCAUCGACGUUUAUUUAACGUGGGACAAGGUGGAUAGACUGGGUGCUGAUGGCUCCGGGAGUUCUUCAGUGCAGAGGAGAAGCAGGUGAGCAGGGUGACGGGGUAGUUGGAGGACAGGAGAACAGACACGAGGAUUAACGGGGAGAAUAACCACAGGAGGAUCUGACUAUGAGCCGAGAACGAGAAACUACCACUGUAGUGACAAGGACGAACUGGCGAUGACUCCGCGCUCAGCCAGGGCAGAUGUAGUGAGCAGUUGAUGAGUGCAGGUGCGCCUGGUGAGCCAGGUCAUCUAGCGAGACGAGCUGCACCUGCGGGAAAAGGAGAGGAGAGAGGAGGAGGGGCACUGGAGGCACAGAGAACUGUGACAUAUAUAAGGCAUCGUGGCAAGAGCUGAUGCAGACAAACAGAAAUAAUCCAAAGAUGAAGACCUCGAUGGUUGUGUUGGGUUUAUCCCUCUUCACCUUGUGUGUGGCUGAGGUCCUGCAUCUGGAUCAACAGGAGAAAGACACCAACACUUCUUGUCACUGCGAGAGCCUGAGUUCGGAUGACAAUUCUCUUAAAGCCUUGAAAGAGAGAGGUUCUGAGGAGGGAGCUCCAAGCCUCUCAAGGUAACAAGGUGGCAUUUGGAGCAGCCAUGGGCAAUGUUGGAAAUAUUGGACCUUACAACAGUGAGAUCACACUGACCUACAAGACCGUCCUCUCAAACACGGGCUCAUACAAUCCUGCUACAGGUAUUUUCACUGCUCCAGUCAAAGGAAUGUAUUACUUCAGCUUCUCUGGUCAUAAUAUAUCAAGUAAGCCAAUGGGGCUGCGCCUCAUGAAGAAUGGAGUGCAGAUCACUACCGUGUACAAUCAUGCAUCUGGAAAUCGCCAUGAAACGGCAACUAACAGCAUGACUAUACCUCUUAAUGUGGGAGACCAGGUGUACAUGACACUCCGUGUGAAUACGUGGAUUUUUGAUAAUCUUAAUUACCACAGCACCUUCAAUGGAUUUCUGUUAUUCCCUUUCUGAGAAAAAUAAACUCCAGAGAGAGAAGAGAGAGUCAGUGAGGUGCAGUACAUUGUUACUUCAAUUGGGGUGUUGCCUAAGGAAUUAAAGUGUUAAUGAAAACACUGUGUAAUAAUUAAUCAAGUUAAACGGGAUCCUGAUCAAAACUUGUUAAUUGAAAGUUUUAUAUUGAUUGAUAUUAUGGUUCUUUUUGUGUUUUGAUUCUUUUUAAUCAAUAAACACUCCAGCAUAUGAUCCCGGUUCUUCC